GACGAACCGUGCGAACGUUGUUCGGAUUCACUGGGCUUAAAGGGCGCGUAGGCGGGCGGUCAAGUCGGGGGGUGAAAUCUUUCAGCUUAACUGGAAAAGUGCCUCCGAUACUGAUCGCCUCGAGGGAGGUAGGGGCAUGUGGAACUUCCGGUGGAGCGGUGAAAUGCGUAGAUAUCGGAAGGAACGCCGGUGGCGAAAGCGACGUGCUGGACCUCUUCUGACGCUGAGGCUCGAAAGCUAGGGGAGCAAACGGG
rnacentral:rRNA from 1 species